rnacentral:rRNA from 1 species
GACGAACGCUGGCGGCGUGCUUAACACAUGCAAGUCGAACGAAGUGGCGAACGGGUGAGUAACGCGUAAUCAACCUGCCCUUCAGAGGGGGACAACAGUUGGAAACGACUGCUAAUACCGCAUACUGAAGGAGGGGAUUGCGUCGGAUUAGCUAGUUGGAGGGGUAACGGCCCACCAAGGCGAUGAUCAGUAGCCGGUCCGGGAGGAUUGACGGACACAUUGGGACUGAGACACGGCCCAGACCCCUACGGGAGGCAGCAUGGGGGAUUCUUCCGCAAUGGACGAAAGUCUGACGGAGCAACGCCGCGUGAGUGAUGACGGCCUUCGGGUUGUAAAGCUCUGUUAAUCGGGACGCGGUACCGGAAUAGAAAGCCACGGCUAACUACGUGCCAGCAGCCGCGGUAAUAC